GGGCGAGCCCACACUGGCCAGCAGCAGUAGCACCGAUGGGCCCACAUCAUCACGGUGUCACACGCACCACACUACAGAAGAAGAUGUGGGGAGCAGUCUCACGGCUCUGACCUCUGGCACGAAGACUAGCCCUCCAACCAGAGUUCAUGUGGAUCACACAUACGCGAUACAAG